GAUGAACGCUGGCGGCGUGCCUAAUACAUGCCAGUCGAGCGAACGGACGAGAAGCUUGCUUCUCUGAUGUUAGCGGCGGACGGGUGAGUAACACGUGGAUAACCUACCUAUAAGACUGGGAUAACUUCGGGAAGCCGUAGCUAAUACCGGAUAAUAUUUUGAACCGCAUGGUUCAAAAGUGAAAGACGGUCUUGCUGUCACUUAUAGAUGGAUCCGCGCUGCAUUAGCUAGUUGGUAAGGUAACGGCUUACCAAGGCAACGAUGCAUAGCCGACCUGAGAGGGUGAUCGGCCACACUGGAACUGAGACACGGUCCAGACUCCUACGGGAGGCAGCAGUAGGGAAUCUUCCGCAAUGGGCGAAAGCCUGACGGAGCAACGCCGCGUGAGUGAUGAAGGUCUUCGGAUCGUAAAACUCUGUUAUUAGGUAAGAACAUAUGUGUAAGUAACUGUGCACAUCUUGACGGUACCUAAUCAGAAAGCCACGGCUAACUACGUG
rnacentral:rRNA from 1 species